rnacentral:snRNA from 1 species
AUAUUUAUGAGGCAGGGGAGAUACCAUGAUCACAAAGGUGGUUUCCUCACAGCAAGACUUAUCCGGUACACUCCAGGUGCAUUGGCCCCUACGAUUUCCCCAAAUAUGGACACUUCACUGCAUCAUUUGUGGUAGCAGGGGAUUGA